rnacentral:tRNA from 1 species
GGGGGUGUAGCUCAUAUGGUAGAGCUCUCGCUUUGCAUGCGAGAGGUACGGGGUUUGAUUCCCUGCACCUCCA